GUGGGUAGUUUGACUGGGGCGGUCUCCUCCUAAAGAGUAACGGAGGAGCACGAAGGUUGGCUAAUCCUGGUCGGACAUCAGGAGGUUAGUGCAAUGGCAUAAGCCAGCUUGACUGCGAGCGUGACGGCGCGAGCAGGUGCGAAAGCAGGUCAUAGUGAUCCGGUGGUUCUGAAUGGAAGGGCCAUCGCUCAACGGAUAAAAGGUACUCCGGGGAUAACAGGCUGAUACCGCCCAAGAGUUCAUAUCGACGGCGGUGUUUGGCACCUCGAUGUCGGCUCAUCACAUCCUGGGGCUGAAGUAGGUCCCAAGGGUAUGGCUGUUCGCCAUUUAAAGUGGUACGCGAGCUGGGUUUAGAACGUCGUGAGACAGUUCGGUCCCUAUCUGCCGUGGGCGCUGGAGAACUGAGGGGGGCUGCUCCUAGUACGAGAGGACCGGAGUGGACGCAUCACUGGUGUUCGGGUUGUCAUGCCAAUGGCACUGCCCGGUAGCUAAAUGCGGAAGAGAUAAGUGCUGAAAGCAUCUAAGCACGAAACUUGCCCCGAGAUGAGUUCUCCCUGAGACUUUAGGUCUCCUGAAGGAACGUUGA
rnacentral:rRNA from 6 species